rnacentral:rRNA from 1 species
AUUGAACGCUGGCGGCAUGCCUUACACAUGCAAGUCGAACGGUAGCACGGGAGCAAUCCUGGUGGCGAGUGGCGAACGGGUGAGUAAUAUAUCGGAACGUGCCCAGUCGUGGGGGAUAACGUAGCGAAAGCUACGCUAAUAGCGCAUACGAUCCAUGGAUGAAAGCGGGGGAUCGCAAGACCUCGCGCGAUUGGAGCGGCCGAUAUCAGAUUAGCUAGUUGGUGGGGUAAAAGCCCACCAAGGCGACGAUCUGUAGCUGGUCUGAGAGGACGACCAGCCACACUGGAACUGAGACACGGUCCAGACUCCUACGGGAGGCAGCAGUGGGGAAUUUUGGACAAUGGGCGAAAGCCUGAUCCAGCAAUGCCGCGUGCAGGACGAAGGCCUUCGGGUUGUAAACUGCUUUUGUACGGAGCGAAACGGUCCUCUCUAAUACAGGGGGCUAAUGACGGUACCGUAAGAAUAAGCACCGGCUAACUACGUGCCAGCAGCCGCAGUAA